rnacentral:rRNA from 1 species
GGAUGAACGCUGGCGGCGUGCCUAAUACAUGCAAAUCGAGCGAACGGACGAGAAGCUUGCUUCUCUGAUGUUCGCGGCGGACGGGUGAGUAACACGUGGAUAACCUACCUAUAAGACUGGGAUAACUUCGGGAAACCGGAGCUAAUACCGGAUAAUAUUUUGAACCGCAUGGUUCAAAAGUGAAAGACGGUCUUGCUGUCACUUAUAGAUGGAUCCGCGCUGCAUUAGCUAGUUGGUAAGGUAACGGCUUACCAAGGCAACGAUGCAUAGCCGACCUGAGAGGGUGAUCGGCCACACUGGAACUGAGACACGGUCCAGACUCCUACGGGAGGCAGCGGUAGGGAAUCUUCCGCAAUGGGCGAAAGCCUGACGGAGCAACGCCGCGUGAGUGAUGAAGGUCUUCGGAUCGUAAAACUCUGUUAUUAGGGAAGAACAUAUGUGUAAGUAACUGUGCACAUCUUGACGGUACCUAAUCAGAAAGCCACGGCUAACUACGUG